rnacentral:hammerhead_ribozyme from 1 species
AUACAGCUGACAAGUCCCAAAAUAGGACGAAACGCGCGUCCUGGAU